UCAUAUAAGUUAUUUUUCGAUCACAUUUUUUAAGUAACAUAUUUAUUUAUUAAUCGCAAAUUAAUCAAAUAAUUGGUUGCAAAUACUAUUCUUCCCACUACCACUGCACCGCCACAUUAUCAUGACUUGCAUCACCACUUGCACCAACAAUCAUCCCAACACUCCAACAAAGCAAAUCCAAAGAAAAACACCAAAAAAUCACCCCAAAAAUCAUGUCGAAACCAUUGCAACAACCAUUCACACCAGCAAUCAACACAAAACACAAACUUUCACCACCACCCCAACACUCCAACAAAGCAGAUGACAAGAAGACAGCCAGAAAACCACCUCCCCAAAAAUCAUCUCAAGAACAUUGUAGCAACCUUUCAAGCCAGCAAUCACCGUUGUGCGCUAUGGGCAUAGAUCGCCUCGUCGUUGCCCCGUAUAUAGAUGCACUACUUCUACGCACGAUGUUGCUGGCAUCAAAGCAGUCACGGUAUGCCUUUACGUCGACAAUCAACACAAACAAGUGGUGGUGUUACGCCCAAUGAAGCCGCCGCUGUAUACUGCGAGCACAGAUCCGCUCGAUGUUGCCCAUAUAUAGAUCGACGGUGGCUAUAUGACCUCUAUGCACGGUGCUGCUGGCAGCGAAGUAGCCAUAGCACACUACUCUCUGGUGGUGUUGUCGAAUAAGAGAGAGAGAGAGAGAGUAACGAGAGAAUAUGAAGGGAUGGAGAAGAGAGUGAAAUGAAUUAGGUUUAGGGAAGAAAUUGAGAGCAUGUUUAGUAGAGAUUUUAAUCUAAUUAAUAUUAAUUUUUUGACUGUUAUUUCAUUAUUUCAAUCGUUAUUUUUGAAUUCUUCUUUCACGGGUAAGAUUCACUUUAUUUCUAACAAUCAAAAAAUCAAUUAACAAAAUCUCUAUAAAACAAGCACUGAAGAUGGGGAUGGGGAUGGAUAGUUUUAAUUUUAUAAAUUACUAGUCUAUAUUGCACGGGAAUGAUUAUUUUGUACGUGAUAUUAGCGUUUUUAAUGUUGAUACGAGUUUAGUGUUUAAAAAAGAAGCGAAUCAAUUAUUUAUAAAAAUAAACAUUUGAGGUAAGUUAUCUGUGAUGUACAUAAUUUUGAAAUUGAAUGAUUCAAUAUAGUAAUAAUAAAAAUGAAUAGUUCAAUGCUGUGCAUAGAAAAGCAGUAAUUUCCACCAUUAGAAAAAAAUUGAAAUAAUUUUAAAUCGAACAACUUUAUAUUGAAAAAAAUUGAAAUAGAAAAAAAUUUCUCUUUUAAAGGAGAGAAAAGCAGUAAUUGAAAAAAAUUAAAUUCAAUCAUAAAGAGAAAGAAUUUUUAAAAAAUUUAAAUAGAAAAAAAUAAUAUAUAUAUAUAUAUAUAUAUAUACACACACACACACACAAAAAUUUAAAAAAUAAAUUAAUCAGUAAUUUCCACAAGUGGAAAAAUUGAAAUAAUUUUAUAUUGAACAAAUUUAUAUUGAAAAUAUUUUAAAUGGAAAAAAAAUUGUCCUUUGGAAGAAAGAAAAUCAGUAAUUGAAAAAAUUAAGUUCAAUGAGAAAAGAAUUAAAAAAAUUUAUCUAUAAUAUAAACAAAAAAAAUUUAAAAACAAAAUAAAUAAAAAUAAAUAUAUUUCCAUCCAUUGAAACUCUCAUUCCAAAAAGGAGAGACAAUCUCUUCAUGGAUGGAGAGAUUCUCUCCAUCCAUGGAGAUAAUUUUUUUUUGCUUAUUUUUUAUUUAAAUUUAUUUUGUUCAUAUUAUAAUUUUUUAUUUAUAAUUCUUUUUUCUUUAUGAUAAAAUUCAUUUCUUUCAAUUUUAAUUAAAUAAUAUUAAUAUAUUAUUUGUUUCUUUUUUGUAACUUUAAUUUGUUUAAUUAAAUAAGAUUUAUUUAUUGUUUAAGAAAGUAAUUUGUUAAAUUUGAAUUAAAUAAUAUUUAUUUUUAAUUUUAAUUACUUUAGUUUAAUUUAAAAAUUUUAUAAUAUUUUUUUUCUAUUUUUGCCUGCAAUUCAUUUUUUAAUCUUUAUAUUUAGUUUCUUUUCUUUAUUAUUAUAUAUAGUAUUGGAUUGGAUAUUAAAUAAUAUUUAUUUAUUCUUUAAGAAAUUAAUUUGUUAAAUUUGAAUUAAAGAAUAUUUAUUUUUAAUUUAAAUUAUUUCAAUUUAAUUUAAAAAAAGUAUAAUAAUUUUUUUUCGAUUUUUGACUUCAAUUCCUUAUUAUAAUCUUUAUAUUUAGUUUCUUUUCUUUGUUGUUAUACAUGCAUUGGAUUCGAUGUAGUAGUGUAUAAAAUGGAGAAAUAUUUUAUAUAAGUAUGAUUUAACAAAUAGUUCAUUGUGUUUGCAGUGGAAAGGAUAAAAAGGAAACUAAAAUAUGUACAACAACCUAUUUUUUAAUAUCAAAAGUAGUAAUUUAUUGCUAUUCGGUGGUAUUUUAAACGUAGUAUUUACUCGAAGGUAUACGAUUAGGUUUGUGUACAUAGACAUGGACAGAUCAUGUUACUUUUUCAAAACUACAAAAUAAAACACUGCGUGACUGCCUAUUGUCACAAAAGUAAUAUAGAUGUUGUUCACUCAUGUUUUUGUUUCGAGGUGAUUACUGUGGUUCCGUCAUCAGUUUUAUAGCCUGUUUUGGGGUUUUGACUCCACUUCAGUAGGUACAUUUGAUGGUUGGAAGAGCGACCUCUUUGUAUGUAGUGGAGAGAUUUCUUCAGUGGCUAUGGAAAUUUCAUCGGGUUGGCCGUCAACUUUGUUCUUGCCCUUUGUAUCUUUGUUGUCUGAACUUUCUUUCAUUUCAGUUGGCCUGUUCACAUCAUCUGUGAUAAUUGAAGAAUUUAUUUCAGUCGGCGUGGAGGAGUUGAUUACGAAUAUGAUUUCAAAGUAGGUGGGCCGUGGCGCUUUUUUGUCGCCUUUAGGUAAAAGAGCAUCUUUGUAUCACUUUCCAAUUUCAUGAUAUCAUUGAGUUCUGUAUUUUGUUCCUGUGGUAGACAAAAUAUAUUUUCAAUAUAGUGGCAUAUAUGUUGUGAAGAAAGAAAGCAUUAUUGAAGGAUAUUGGAUGUGAUGCUUUACAUUUUUAAGAUGCUCCAUUAUGGCAUUGGCAUUACUUUCUAGUAACACCUUUGCUGCAUCUCCUAUGAUGGUUGCAUCUAAUGAACCAAAUUUGUCUUCAAGUUGUACGAAAGCAUUUACCCCCUUUUUUUUUGCCAGCUAUGCAUUAUAUACCUUGUUCAUGAAGCAAUUAUUAGUAAAGUUUUGAACUUAUGUUUAAUGGAAGAAAUUACCUUUGGGAUAGCUUUUGCGUAUGCAUAUUUGCAGAAGUGACAUUUAUAAAUUUCUCCAAAUUUUGUGUUGGACGUCUUCUUGCAGUUGCUGCAAGACAUAUACCAAGAUUUUUGGUUUCUUGAUGCUAUUUUCCAGUUUGCAUUCACCUAGUAGAAUUUUUUGUGUUAAAAGAGAUGUCUUAUGUAAUUAGAUAAGCAGAUAGUACGAAGGAAAAUGCGUGAUGCUACUAUAAUGUAUAUUAUGAAAUAUAGAGAGAAUGUAUUUCUGCUAAUUAUAUUCAGUUCAUUAGUUUAGAAUUACCAUUAGGUAGAUUCCUAGUAAAUCUUCAAUUGGUGUUAAUUCAUUCUCAGUUGGAGGAUAAAGCUUUGGUGGGCUGAUAUUAACAAAAGGUUUUUUCUCUGUCAGCUUGUCAAGUGUUUCUUUGUUAGCUUCCACCCUGUGAGAAAUAAUGACAUAUUUAGUUCUAAAAUAUAACUCUUGUUUUUUUGUUGUUGUAUGAAUGCUGUAAAAGUAAUAUGUGUAUUGGGUAUAUUGUGGUACCAUUCUUUAUACUUUGAAACGGCCAGUAGUUGGACAUUAAUGAAAAAACUACAAUUUGCUUUGGUUGAAAGGGUGAUACCAGCAGAAAAGAAAUUAGGAAUAACUUAUAUGUUUUUUUUUGAAAAAAAUAAUAAUAGCACUAUAGAUGAAAUUGUAUUUGUAAAACGAAUUUACCGUUGAACGAAGAAACCUUGAGAUUUGUAGCCCAUACGACGGGUAUAUUUGCAAGGUUUUCAAUUAUUGUAGUGCAUUCUCGUUUGACAUAGCUAUCCUAUAAUGUUAGUAUCACAGUUUUAAACUGUUUGUCUAUUAAGACAACAUUUUGUAAAUAAGCUUGUGUAGCAAAGUUAAUUUGAAUUAGUCGUUUCAAUUAUUGUAGUGCAUUCUCGUUUGACAUAGCUAUCCUAUAAUGUUAGUAUCACAGUUUUAAACUGUUUGUCUAUUAAGACAACAUUUUGUAAAUAAGCUUGUGUAGCAAAGUUAAUUUGAAUUAGUCGUUUCAAUUAUUGUAGUGCAUUCUCGUGUAAACUUUUUUUUUUUUUUUUAUGUAUUUUGCAUGUAAUAAAUUUGAACGUAAAAAAUAAACUAUGAAACAUUAUAUAAAAUGGUUAGUCUAAAUUUAAUAUUUUAGAAAUCUUGCUUAUGUCUGUAUUCUUGUCCAUAUGCUACCCAGGUAAUUUCACCCUAGUCUGUACUGGUGUGAAUGUGUCUCCACAGUGUAUGACUACUUAUGGUGAUUUUACCAACUCUGCACUAUUGUGAAUGUGUUUUCAUAGUGUAUGAUCAGAAUUGCAGAAUCUUAGCUUUGCGCGCGUAAUUACAGAAUUUCAGAAUUACAGAAUCGAAUAGCUUUGUCAUGUAUAUCGGUACUAACUGAUAUAUGGGUAAGGUUAUUUCGGGUGUCUUUUUGGUGUGAUUUUCAGUAAAUUGCAGUUCAUCAGUUUUCAGAUUAUAGAAUUUAGUCAUUUCAAUUUAAAGAAUAAAUAUUUUGGCUUAUAGUACAAUAAAAGAACAUUUUUAUUAUAUACUAGUUUUCUGAAAGUUGGCAUAACUAGAAAAUAUAUAUUUACUUACGAAAUAUCCACUUACUGAGUUACAGGCUCACAUUUUUAUCACAAUUUCUCUUAUCAGAUAGUAACUGAGUUGAGUUCUACUGGCCAGUUGAUCUAUGGAGUUGAGCCAUAGAUUAUCAAGCAUUGCAUGACUCAUCUUAUCAGUUUAAUAGUUUAUAUUUUAGGAUAGACACUUCUUUUGGUCAGAAAUUAAUUUUAUGUUUUGGGCCUGCUAUGUUUUGUAUAUAUUAUGCAUUUUGAGUAUUGUGGUUUAUAAAUUAUUGCAAAUGUCGAAUUGCUAGUGUUGUAUUUUAAAUAGUUGAUAUUCUGUGGGUCAGUGUACCCUAUUUUAAACUAUAUGUAUCUGUUUGGGAUAUUGGAUUAUAUAUUUUAGGUGGUUUUAGUCCAUAAUUCAGGGGGAACUCUGCCAAAAUUUUUAACAGUCAAAACAAGUCAAAGUUGCCUUAAUGGUGGGUCUGACACUUAACUGGUAUUUACUAUCGGCACACGACACGUGUCGAGAUUAUUAGGAUGAUUCAGGACGGGUAAUUUGAAGGGAGGAAUUCAAAUAGAACUUUGACUUGGGUUGACUGGUCCAAGGGUGGGCCCCAUCCUUCCCAGUUUUUAAGGACAGAUGUUACUCCAGAGUUCUUGGAGAAGUUAAGGAGUGAAAAUUCAUGUGAGUACAAUGGUAAUAAAACUAAUGUUUGCUUCUUGUUUGCAAGAAAAUUUGCACUGAAUGCUUUGGAUAGAUUGUUGAGGUUUGCACCAAUUGUUAUGCACUUCAACAGUUAGGUUUAUAGAGAUAUGUAUAGAGAAUCAUCAAUUUAUUGGGCACCAUGUCUCGAGGCCCCCCACGCUUUAUUUUUUUUUUUUUAAUUUUUAAUCUCAUGGUUUGUACUGAACUUGAAUUUUAGAAACCAAUUAGAAAUUCAAAAUGAUACAAUUUUAUAGAUGCAUAAACUUGAAUUUUAUAGAUACGUAGAAAUUUUUUUCCUAAUGAUUUUCGAUUCACAUUACAGUGCUCUGAACUAUUAAAUUGCGAGACAGAUUUUACAUAAUAGAAAUCACCAAAUAUAUAUAUAUUUCAUCUAAAUUUUUAAUGACUAACAACUUAUUAAAACUUAAUAACAUAUUAAUUCCAUAUUUAAUUAUUGAAGUUGUAGCUUGGAGCCAUGAUUGAUAAUUAGGAACUCGAACUUGUAAAAAGGUGGAACGCUGCUAGGUGUAGGUGCCCCUGGUAUUACAGGGCCACAUGGACCUCGUAAGCAAUAAUCCAAAAAGGUAUGGGCUAAAUGAUUUGGUCUAAAGGCAAAAGUUUGAGUAUAGAGCUAUUCAAGUACACGUACAAAUUAUUUAAGAGAAAAUUUCAUAUCUAUGAGUUUAAUUGUGAGUCAUUUCAAGAUUAAGAAGGAAAGUUUAAAAUUUCAAAAUUUGGAUAUUAUUAUAUUUUAUUUAUGAAUUAACUAAUUAAAAAUAUAUUAUAUUAAUUAAGUUUAUUAAGGUCGCAAUUCUAUAUAAUUUAGUCACAAAUUAACGAAUUAAUUGGUUACAAAUUAUUAUAAUUUUUUUUAUAAAUUAUAAAUUAUUUUUCGAUCACAAAUCAAAAAAUUUAUAGAUCACAAUUUAUUCGCUGAUCAUAAAAUUAAAAAAAAUUAUAAGUCAAUUCAUUUAUCAAUCACGAAUAAUAAAUUUUAUAAGUCACAAUUUAUUUCACAAUCACAAACUAUCAAUUUAAUUGGUCAUAUAAGUUAUUUUUCGAUCACAUUUUUUAAGUAACAUAUUUAUUUAUUAAUCGCAAAUUAAUCAAAUAAUUGGUUGCAAAUACUAUUCUUCCCACUACCACUGCACCGCCACAUUAUCAUGACUUGCAUCACCACUUGCACCAACAAUCAUCCCAACACUCCAACAAAGCAAAUCCAAAGAAAAACACCAAAAAAUCAUGUCGAAACCAUUGCAACAACCAUUCACACCAGCAAUCAACACAAAACACAAACUUUCACCACCACCCCAACACUCCAACAAAGCAGAUGACAAGAAGACAGCCAGAAAACCACCUCCCCAAAAAUCAUCUCAAGAACAUUGUAGCAACCUUUCAAGCCAGCAAUCACCGUUGUGCGCUAUGGGCAUAGAUCGCCUCGUCGUUGCCCCGUAUAUAGAUGCACUACUUCUACGCACGAUGUUGCUGGCAUCAAAGCAGUCACGGUAUGCCUUUACGUCGACAAUCAACACAAACAAGUGGUGGUGUUACGCCCAAUGAAGCCGCCGCUGUAUACUGCGAGCACAGAUCCGCUCGAUGUUGCCCAUAUAUAGAUCGACGGUGGCUAUAUGACCUCUAUGCACGGUGCUGCUGGCAGCGAAGUAGCCAUAGCACACUACUCUCUGGUGGUGUUGUCGAAUAAGAGAGAGAGAGAGAGAGUAACGAGAGAAUAUGAAGGGAUGGAGAAGAGAGUGAAAUGAAUUAGGUUUAGGGAAGAAAUUG
rnacentral:lncRNA from 1 species